rnacentral:rRNA from 1 species
UACAGAGGUCCCAAGCGUUGUUCGGAUUCAUUGGGCGUAAAGGGUGCGUAGGCGGCGCGGGAAGUCGGGUGUGAAAUCUCGGAGCUUAACUCCGAAACUGCAUUCGAUACUGCCGUGCUUGAGGACUGGAGAGGAGACUGGAAUUUACGGUGUAGCGGUGAAAUGCGUAGAUAUCGUAAGGAAGACCAGUGGCGAAGGCAGCUCUCUGGGACGGUACUGACGCUGAGACGCGAAAGCGUGGGGAGCGAACAGG